rnacentral:misc_RNA from 1 species
GAUGAAGAACGUAGCGAAAUGCGAUAAGUAAUGUGAAUUGCAGAAUUCCGUGAAUCAUCGAAUCUUUGAACGCAUAUUGCGCCCUCUGGUAUUCCGGGGGGCAUGCCUGUCCGAGCGUCAUUGCUGCCCUCAAGCACGGCUUGUGUGUUGGGCCCCGUCCUCCGAUUCCGGGGGACGGGCCCGAAAGGCAGCGGCGGCACCGCGUCCGGUCCUCGAGCGUAUGGGGCUUUGUCACCCGCUCUGUAGGCCCGGCCGGCGCUUGCCGAUCAACCCAAAUUUUUAUCCAGGUUGACCUCGGAUCAGGUAGGGAUACCCGCUGAACUUAAGCAUAUCAAUAAGCGGAGGA